ACUCCUACGGGAGGCAGCAGUGGGGAAUUUUGCGCAAUGGGGGAAACCCUGACGCAGCAACGCCGCGUGAGUGAUGAAGGCCUUCGGGUCGUAAAGCUCUGACAGAGGGGAAGAAAUGUGGGUGGCUAAUAUCCAUUCCACUUGACGGUACCCUCAAAGGAAGCACCGGCUAACUCCGUGCCAGCAGCCGCGGUAAUACGGAGGGUGCGAGCGUUGUUCGGAUUUAUUGGGCGUAAAGCGCGUGUAGGCGGUUUUAUAAGUCUGAUGUGAAAGCCCCGGGCUCAACCUGGGAAGUGCAUUGGAUACUGUAAGACUUGAAUACGGGAGAGGGUAGUGGAAUUCCUGGUGUAGGAGUGAAAUCCGUAGAUAUCAGGAGGAACACCGGUGGCGAAGGCGGCUGCCUGGACCGAUAUUGACGCUGAGACGCGAAAGCGUGGGUAGCAAACAGGAUUAGGUACCCUGGUAGUCCACGCUGUAAACGAUGAGAACUAGGUGUCGCGGGUA
rnacentral:rRNA from 1 species